GGGGACAGCAAGGAGUCAUCAAGCCAGGUAGUCCUGAGGCAUGGUCCUAGGGCUCAGGUCCUCCGAGAGAAAGAGAGAGAGAGAAUGACAAUGAGAAAGAGAAAAUUAGAGGGAGCAUACUUAAAUUCCCACAGGACACCGGAUAAGACUGGAGAAAUACUCCAGAUAUAACAGAAUGACACUAGCCCCCCGACACAAAAUAUUGCAGCAUAAAUAAUCCCUUACACGUGAUCCGUUACUCCCCAACCCUGCACACACGUUACAAUAUAGUGAAGUAAAUGACAGAUACUACAAACUGCCCUCCACCCUCCCAAGCAGGGACAUGAUGUCCACAAUUUUACAUAACUAAUUGACAGAUUAGCGCACAGCCAUACACCGAAUAAAAUAUAUGGUAGUCCAUACUUCCCAUCCACAUGUAUGAAGGCAUACAUUGGGCAUGUUUGAAUAAUAACUGUUUCAGUGAUCCAUAGUUAGGGAAUAAUCAGACGAUACAUUGCAGGUAAAAUACCACAAUACCACCUUGUACUUAAAGCAUGCAGAAAUGACCUUAAGGUUUUUAACAUUAUUUAAGAUUUUGAGGAAUGGCAAGCCUUUUAAGGUCAAGGGCUUUGCAAAAGAUGGUUUAGAUUCCAGUAAAGUCCCCCAGUUGUUAUUCAAACAUGCCUAAUGCACGCCUUCAUACAUGUGGACGGGAAAUAGGGAUUACUGUACAUUUUUAUUCAGUGAACGGCAUGUUAGUGGCAAUCAGGUGAGGAUGUGCUAACUGCCCUGCUAAGAGCUCUGUGGCUGAUAGACCCAAUGAUAGACCCAAUGGCUGUUUGCUGCAUAAUGUACACUUUUGUCUUUUUCCCAUCAUUCACUCUUCCAUCUUAUCCUAGGCUACAGAUGCUCUGAUACAGGAGACAUUCUGCAAGUACAAUCAACUAGUGCCAUCGGAAUUAUCAGAAUCAAAAGGCAAGAUUCUGAGAACCAUGCAUAGUUCUUAGAACCUCGCAUAGUUUUUAGAACUUCACAUCAUUUUGGCAAAUCACUGAAAUUCCUGUUUUGUGGGAAAUGUGACUGAUAAGAUCAGAACCACACUAUUUCAAACGUUUCUCUUUACCAUUACCUCUUUAUGUGGGUAUGCUUCCUAAAAUCUCAUAGGAUUGAGGAAAAAUGACUGUAUAAUUAUUCAAGUAUAACCUUUCCAUAGCUUAGCUAAUGGGGGACUUUACUGGGAUCUAAACCAUCUUUUGCAAAGCCCUUGACCUUAAAAGGGUUGCCAUUCUUUGAAAUCUUGUUCGGUAAAAUGUUCCGUUAAAAACCUUAUAUCGUAAUUCCUGCAUACUUUAAAUACAAGGUCGUAUGGUGGUAUUUAUUUUUAAGUCAUAGAAUAACUACAAUGUAAAUCUUUUAAAGAUUUUAUUAUCACUAACUAUUCAGGGUCAUUCAGUUUAAAGGAUACAUCUGUACUAUAAUAGAAAAUAAGACAAACAUUUGAAGAUCAUUAAUUGUUUUUUUUUUUUUUUUUUUUUUACACACUUUGUUACUGAACAUCAACAGGCAGACAAUUCCACCCACUAGGUGGACAACAAACACUGCAAAACAUUAAUUCGUAUAAAAAGUCAGCAAUACAGCAACAGCUUGGACAGCUACGAAAUGUACUACAGCACUAUCAUCAUAAAUAAAGGAGCUAUCCGAUGACAACAGAACGUUUCAGGACAUUGUAAAAUCCAGUCUCUCCUUACGAGGUAUGGUCUCUCCACUGAGUUCAGGGUGUGGUCUUGUUGCGGUCUUUUUAUUCUGGAGUCCUCUAGAUCAGGUCCAACAGGGAGAACUCGGGGCUGUGGUAGUUGACCAAUCAGGGGUAGUUUGGUCGGUGAAAUACCUCUGCAGCCCCAUUUUCCCAUGCCCUAUGCCUCUUUAAAGCUAGAUCUCAAAGCGGUAUAUGCAUAGGAAAAAGGAACAGCGAGUGCAGAUACCCCUCUCGAAUCCACUGCUGUUGUGAACCUGAAAGGGAGAGACACAGACAACCUCACAGAAUGAACACUUUGAAUAUUAAACCUUAUACAAUGAUAUUUAAAGAAAAACAUUAAAACAAGUCAUUCCUAUUUUAUCAUGUACAGCUGAUUUUGCACAAGUAACUUAUACUUUAGAAUACGCAAAACAAUAUUUUCAGGACUUCAAUCAUUUGGAUAAGACAAUAACUGCAAAUUGACAAAUUCUUAAUCAUUUAAUAAUUAUACUUUAAUCAUUUGCUAAACAGCAAAUGUGAAAAACAUUAAAGAGACUUUAUAUUCUGUGUGAGCCUGUUUGAGGUUUUAGUUCUAUAAAAUGCAUCAGGUGAAGAUCCUAUAAAUAAAGCUGACUUACCCUGUACAGCUCCAGAGCUGUCUCCCUAAAGCAAACACCUCCUCAGGGGCAUUUAUUCCUCCCCAGAGACCUUGAAGAUGUUUGAGAAAGAUAGAGUAGCUGUUUUUUGUUCUCUGUCAGCACUCAGCCCACCUCCUUGGUUUCAGGCCAUGGCAUAUCAUGCACUUGCAGGGGCCAGCGCAACCCUCUAAAAAAAAAUAAAAAAACAUUAGAAAUUAACAAGCAACAAACAUGACAAAGCCUCAGUGUCUCGGCUAAGGUUGAUUGGCUGUCGUUGC
rnacentral:lncRNA from 1 species